UUGUUAAUUGAAUCUUGAAAUCUGCAGUGUAAACUUUAUUUGUCUGUUGUUCAACUUGAACACGUUUCCGUAUGGUCUGCAACGAACUGUUUCUUAUCUGGAGAGCAAGUGUUCUUAUAGCUAUGAAAAGCAAAAGAUUUGCCCAUUGCGCUAUUUGCAUUGGCACUCGCUGACGCUUUGCACCUUAUCGUGGGUGCGAGUGGACGUCAUGAAUGUUGCGCCAGUUGUGAAUGAUUGGCAACUGUUUGCCUUUGGAGCAGAAGUGGCAGCACCUGCAGCAGCAGCAGCAGCAGCUUAUCAAUCUUUGCAAUUACUAAUUAGCACCGUCUAAUAAAUAGACGGGACUCUCACUCUAUUGCUCUUCAUUCUACAUUUGAAACGUAAUUUGCGGUCUGCAACCGCAACGAACAAAAUAACUAGUUUUGCAUUGACUUUUUUUCAUUCUUGUUUGCCUUUUAAAAUGCGAGUGCAACGACUUUCCGGAGCAAACCGAACGGACCAAGUGUCGUCAGCAUUAGUCAGAGUGGAAAAAAGUAUGAAAAAUAAAAAAUAAAAUGCCGUAGAACAGGAAGUGUGAAAUUAGCUACUUUUGUCUCCUUCUCUUUUACUUUUAUUUGUUUGGUUUUUUUUUUUAUGUUGGCUACUUUGCCUAAAGUGCCACGAGAAAUUUAAUUAACAACAAUUAGUUGAGAUUCCCACAUUAAUUACGCAACGUUUGCGUUGCCUCAGACAAGGGAAAUGAAAAGUGCUUAAAACGAUGCCAAAUACUUUUCGCUCAUGUGGAACACACGACCAUCGAAGAGCUCAUAUUACGGGAUGAUCAUAUAUUUUAGGCAGAACUAUUACAUAAUUAAAGCCUAUAACUAUAGCUAAAAUGAAUGAACUUAUAUAUAACUUUUAGAAAGUCUAUCAUUUCAAAUUUUCAUUAUCAUUUGAGUUAAGGCAGAAAACUGUUAAAAUAUUCUAUUCCUUAAAUUUGUCCAUAUUCAUUAUUAGCAAAUCAAAGAAAAUAUCAAUCAAUUUCUUCUUUCAAAUUUUGUCUUUAAUUUACCUGAUUUGUUGAUAAGCCAAACACAAUUUUAUUUUCUGAGCAAGAAUAAAUAGAACCAAGCGAUACAAAGAAUUUUUAGAAUUCAA